rnacentral:rRNA from 1 species
CGUGGGAACCUGCCCUCCAGUGAGGAAUACCGGCGAGAAAUCGCCGACAAGACCGCAUAGCCUUGGUUGGUGAGAGCCAGGCAAGGAAAGCUUCGCAAGAGGCGCUGGAGGAGGGGCCUGCGUCCGAUUAGCUAGUUGGUGGGGUAAGAGCCUACCAAGGCGUGAUCGGUAGCUGGUCUGAGAGGACGAUCAGCCACACUGGGAUUGAGAACGGCCCAG